rnacentral:rRNA from 1 species
AUGCGGCUCUUCGACGGGGUCUACUCCUCGACGACCGACCUCUCCUGCAUCAACCGGGCGCACAUUGUGCUGUUGCCCAAAUCGGACGGUGUUCUUGUUCCCGGAGGUUUCCGGCCGGUCUCCCUUCAGAACUGUGACGUCAACCUGGUUUGCAAAGCCCUGACCACCAGACUGCAGCAACAAAUUCCGGAAGUGAUUGACUCCGACCAGUCCGGCUUUAUCAAAGGGCGAACCAUCUCCGAGAACUUCGUCUAUGCUGCGGAGAUUGUGCAGUGCUGUGAGGCGAGGAAAGCACCCUCUCUAGUUCUAAAGCUCGACUUCGCGAAGGCUUUUGACUCCAUCAGCUGGAAGAGCCUUCGGCGGAUCAUGGAAGUGCGGGGGUUCCCCGCGCGCUGGUGUGACUGGAUGGACGCCAUCUUCCGCUCCUCCAUGUCCGCGGUCCUCCUCAACGGGGUGCCCGGGCGCUAGAUCACGUGCAAGAAGGGGCUGCGGCAAGGCGACCUGACACUAGUAGAAAAAGAGGCUUCCAUACGCCCCAUUAGUCCCCAAAACAAUCGAACCGUGACAAAAGGGGCCUUUAGUCGCGGUUCGGAAGGAGACCCGCGACCAACUAUCUGGGCCCAGCGCGCUCGGUCGACAGCUGGCGGACGGGAGGGGCUUUAG